CAGUAGCCGCGGGAAUACGAAGGGGGCUAGCGUUGUUCGGAUUUACUGGGCGUAAAGCGCACGUAGGCGGACCCUUAAGUCAGAGGUGAAAUCCCAAGGCUCAACCUUGGAACUGCCUUUGAUACUGGGGAUCUCGAGUUCGGGAGAGGUGAGUGGAACUGCGAGUGUAGAGGUGAAAUUCGUAGAUAUUCGCAAGAACACCAGUGGCGAAGGCGGCUCACUGGCCCGAUACUGACGCUGAGGUGCGAAAGCGUGGGGAGCAAACAGGAUUAGAUACCCCUGUAGUCCCUGUCUCUUAUAC
rnacentral:rRNA from 1 species